rnacentral:rRNA from 1 species
GAUGAACGCUGACAGAAUGCUUAACACAUGCAAGUCAUUGGCGAAGCUGCGCUUGCGCAGUCUAGCCAAGGCGGACGGGUGAGUAACGCGUAAGGAACUUGCCCUGCAGACAGGGAUAACAGACGGAAACGACUGAUAACACCUGGUAUUGUCAGGCUGGCGCAUGCCGGCCUGAUGAAAGGAGACACUGCAGGAGAGCCUUGCGUCCUAUUAGCUAGUUGGUGGGGUAACGGCCCACCAAGGCGAUGAUAGGUAGCCGGCCUGAGGGGGUGAACGGCCACAGGGGGACUGAGAUACGGCCCUUACUCCUGCGGGAGGCAGCAGUGGAGAAUAUUGGACAAUGGGGGCAACCCUGAUCCAGCAAUUCUGUGUGCACGAAGAGGGUUUUCGGAGUGUAAAGUGCUUUCAGCAGGGAAGAAGAAAGUGACGGUACCUGCAGAAGAAGCGACGGCUAAAUACGUG